rnacentral:rRNA from 1 species
UACGUAGGUGGCAAGCGUUGUCCGGAAUUAUUGGGCGUAAAGCGCGCGCGAUGGUGGUUUACUUAAGUCUGAUGUGAAAGCCCACGGCUCAACCGUGGAGGGUCAUUGGAAACUGGGGAACUUGAGUGCAGGAGAGAAGAGUGGAAUUCCACGUGUAGCGGUGAAAUGCGUAGAGAUGUGGAGGAACACCAGUGGCGAAGGCGGCUGCCUGGCCCAAUACUGACACUCAGGUGCGACAGCGUGGGGAGCAAACAGG